rnacentral:rRNA from 1 species
AGCGAACGCUGGCGGCAGGCCUAACACAUGCAAGUCGAGCGCCCCGCAAGGGGAGCGGCAGACGGGAGAGUAACACGUGGGAACGUGCCCUUUGGUUCGGAACAACCCAGGGAAACUUGGGCUAAUACCGGAUAAGCCCUUACGGGGAAAGAUUUAUCGCCGAAGGAUCGGCCCGCGUCUGAUUAGCUAGUUGGUGGGGUAAUGGCCCACCAAGGCGACGAUCAGUAGCUGGUCUGAGAGGAUGAUCAGCCUCACUGGGACUGAGACACGGCCCAGACUCCUACGGGAGGCAGCAGUGGGGAAUAUUGGACAAUGGGCGCAAGCCUGAUCCAGCCAUGCCGCGUGGGUGAUGAAGGCCCUAGGGUUGUAAAGCCCUUUCGGCGGGGAAGAUAAUGACGGUAGUCGGAGAAGAAGCCCCGGCUAACUUCGUGCCAGCCGCCGCCGUAAUAC